rnacentral:rRNA from 1 species
GACGAACCGUGCAAACGUUGUUCGGAUUCACUGGGCUUAAAGGGCGCGUAGGCGGGCCAUCAAGUCAGGGGUGAAAUCCCGGAGCUCAACUUCGGAACUGCCUUUGAUACAGCACGUCUUGAGUCCGAUAGAGGUGGGUGGAAUUCCUAGUGUAGAGGUGAAAUUCGUAGAUAUUAGGAAGAACACCGGUGGCGAAGGCGGCUCACUGGACCGGUACUGACGCUGAUGCGCGAAAGCGUGGGGAGCAAACGGG